AACGAACGCUGGCGGCAGGCUUAACACAUGCAAGUCGAGCGCAUCCUUCGGGGUGAGCGGCGGACGGGUGAGUAACGCGUGGGAACGUGCCCUCUUCUACGGAAUAGCCUCGGGAAACUGAGAGUAAUGCCGUAUACGCCCGCAAGGGGAAAGAUUUAUCGGAGGAGGAUCGGCCCGCGUUGGAUUAGGUAGUUGGUGGGGUAACGGCCUACCAAGCCGACGAUCCAUAGCUGGUUUGAGAGGAUGAUCAGCCACACUGGGACUGAGACACGGCCCAGACUCCUACGGGAGGCAGCAGUGGGGAAUCUUGGACAAUGGGGGCAACCCUGAUCCAGCCAUGCCGCGUGAUCGAUGAAGGCCUUAGGGUUGUAAAGAUCUUUCAGCUGGGAAGAUAAUGACGGUACCAGAAGAAGAAGCCCCGGCUAACUCCGU
rnacentral:rRNA from 1 species